AUAAUUAGUGCAAUGGAAAAAUAGCCAAUAAGCUGAAUAAUCAUGGCCUGCAAGGAGACGAUUGAGGGUGCGUACUUCAGAAUUAGAGAGCUUUAAUCCGGAAUACCAGGGUUUGGAUGGUAUCGUGUUCUGGAACUGGGAAUAUUUGCGUCCCUUUCCAUCCACAGCGGCAUAUUCGAGGAGUACUGUUGAUUCAAAGCUGCUUUCGCCAACUGGUCAGCAAUCUCGCUCCCGGCAGUGCCAGCGUGGCCAGGAAUCCACUGCAAUGCUGUGCUAGUUUUCGAAGCCAUACCGAGCAGUUUUUCCACAAUUUCAUCCCGAAAAUCAGCUUGCACGUUCGAUUUGAUGAACUCCAGAC